UACGAAGGGGGCUAGCGUUGCUCGGAAUCACUGGGCGUAAAGGGCGCGUAGGCGGCGUUUUAAGUCGGGGGUGAAAGCCUGUGGCUCAACCACAGAAUGGCCUUCGAUACUGGGACGCUUGAGUAUGGUAGAGGUUGGUGGAACUGCGAGUGUAGAGGUGAAAUUCGUAGAUAUUCGCAAGAACACCGGUGGCGAAGGCGGCCAACUGGACCAUUACUGACGCUGAGGCGCGAAAGCGUGGGGAGCAAAC
rnacentral:rRNA from 3 species